AAAUCCGCGAACCAAAUUCCCGAGGUGUGAGGCUACCUUAAGGCUGCCUUACACCUCGGGAAAAUUUUCCGCCGGAUUUUGAUCCCCGUGCAUUUUAAAUGGGGCCGGGAUUUUGAUUUCCCGUGCCCAAAUGCCGAAAACAUCGCAUAUGCAAAAAUGCAUGGGGAAAAAAUCCGCGGACCAAAUUCCCGAGGUGUGAGGCUACCUAUAAAGGUAGCCCAAGGGGUAAACCACUCGGCACACUUUCAGAAUGGCUAAUUGUGCCCACUGUGCCGUUAACUGUGCCGAAGUGUGCCGAUUAAAAAAUAAUAAUUUUUCUGGCGGCACUGGUUUUUAUAUUUACCUAUUUGGCAUCACGGGAAAAAUGUGUAAAUAAAUAACAAAAACAGGAAUUUCUGAAUUUCCGAUAAGGAACAUUAAUCGCAGCUGAAAUAUUCCGUAUUCAACCGUAGGAAGUUUAAAUAAAAACACGCAGGAAAACAUAAAAAUAUGUCUAAUAUUUCGACAACCUUGGCUUCACCCAUGUGGUGCGGGAAAUUAACAACUGAAUCAUCGCUGCCACUAUCAUCGAAACCGGGUGCUAUAAUCACAAAAGCUACCGGCGUAUUACUAUUCCCACAAGCAAUAUAUGUUGCUGCCACUCUGUAUGAAUGCAAUAUAAAUCCCGAAUAUUCACUACCGAUCAAGCUACCGAUGCACGUUCAUCCUUUGCCAGCGCUAUUAUACGAUCCUGGGAAAUCUCCAGCUAAUUAGCAGCCGCACGAACUCGGACCAUCAACCCUCCGUCAUAUCCCAUCGACGACCAUUGAACCGGAGUCCCAUGCCUAAUCUUUUCGGAAGUGCUCCGGAACGAUACAUCGCCGAGCAUACCUUGUCGAGUAAUGCGGAACCGUUUGUCUAAAUGCAACAACUGAAAUUGAUGCUUCCGAUUGUCGUCCCGGACCAAAAGCACCCUCUCAACAACUUCGGGAGGAAAUAUCAAAGUGGCGGCAUGGUACAAGAUAACACACUAGUGGUACAACUUGUACCAUGGUACGAAUACCACCCAGUGUGUCAUUAGUACAAACCUGAAUAAAUAAAUACUCUUAAAUCAAAUCUUUCAGCGUACUGGUGCAAAUAUCUUUGAAUUUUCACAUAUAUUUGAGUAGAGUUUAUGCAUAUUGGCUAAGGAAUUUAAUAAGCACUGGAAAUUCAAUCUUCUUAGCGCCGUUUUUCAGAGAAUGUAAGUUAAAAAUUAUUUCUAAUUUGUUUUUAAAUUCUUCGAAUAAAUAUAGGGUUACAAGCUAUUUAGCAUGUUUAG